rnacentral:misc_RNA from 1 species
UUAUUAGGUUAUAAUAAGACGUUACGUUUAGGACUACUAAUGUUUGUAUAAAGGGCGAACCAAGACUUGCGUCAAGGCUCUACAGUGCACAGGUGUGUGGAUAAAGAAGCGGGGUCUAGCCUUACGGCGUCGACGCCCACCUCCAUAGUUUAUUCUCUAAUGAUCCUUCCGCAGGUUCACCUACGGAAA